GGCUGAUGAAAUUGCUCCUCUGCUCCGGUUCUCUCCCUGCCAGGAAUGAAUAAACGGGCGCAGGGGCGGCGGAAAGAAUCAAAUGCCAACUAUCUGACAGACAGGUGCCUUCUUGAGUGCUACCGAUAUAACAAGGCAAUAAACUGAAGACCUUCCAUACCCAAGAAUUGAUCCUGGAUGAAAUCAAUAACUUCAGGGGAUCUUCCUGACCCAGGGAUCGAAUCUACAUCUCCUGUGUCUCCUGCAUUAGUAGAUGGAUUCUUUACCACUGAGCCACCUGGAAAGCCCAAACUAUUAAUGGUAAAUUUAACACAAAAAGACACAUGUCUCAUCCAUGUAACAAACCAAUGUGAGUGUUCAUGAUUGGCGGGAGGCUUUCCUCCACACAGUGACUCAGGGACCAUUCCCUUUCUAUCUUUGGCUCCACUACCCUCUAAGGCUUCCUCAUCAUUACCUGCCUCUGUUUUGGAAAGGGAGAGGGUGAAGAAAGAAUGUUUAUUUCUCAACUGCAUUGGCUUCGCAGUGUCAUACAGUACUUCUCACACUCCAUUGGCCAGAACUGUUCAU